rnacentral:lncRNA from 1 species
GGGGAGGGUUAAAGAAUGGUGAUUGCGACACUGAAUCGUACAAUGUGUGUUUUUAAAAAUAAUGUUAACAGAUUCUAAUAAAUGGCUCUUGGUUUUGGCAAAACACUUUUUUUUUCUGCUUUUAUCUGUGAGCAAUUCAAAGAUAAAUACAAAUUAUUCAUCACCUUCAAAGAUUAAGGGCUAAUAUAAUGUCUUUAUAAAUAUAUAUGUGUAAAAUAAUAGUUUUUGAUAAAUCUUUUAUCGGUAUUCUAAGGGUUAGGAUAUAUCAUAGAACAAUAAUUUAUGACAUCAUGUAUUUGAAGAAAACAUCUGAAUGUAUUCUGAUUUCUUUAGAGGAAGAAAGUUCUAAUUUUCAUAUUCAGAACAGAAGCCACACCCUUUUUACUCUAUGCACAGCUGAUAAUAUAGAGAUAAUAUAGAGAGAACAAAUUUUAAAAUCGUUAUUUCUGGUCAUCAGUAAGUAUAUAUUAUGAUGUCGGAAGUAUUCAUUGGCAUAUUUUCAAAACAUUGAAAAUUCAGUGGCGCCAACAUUUGCUGUUAUUAUUAACAAGCCACCCUUCACGUGUGUUCAUUUGUUCCCAGGCUAGGGGUCGAAUCAGAGCUAUAGCUGCCAGCCUAGCCACAGCCACAGCAAUGGCAGAUCCAAGCCACGUCUGCAACCUACACCACAGCUCACAGUAAUGCUGGAUCUUUAACCUACUGAUCAAGGCCAGGGAUCGAACCUGUGUCCUUUUGGAUGCUAGUCAGAUUUGUUUCCGCUGAGACCCAACGGGAACUCCAAAAGCACCCUUUAAGGUUACCUCAAUUGUUCUUUUCUGCCAGCAGUUGGAAAAAAUAACACCCUUGAGCAUAAAACUUUACCUAAAAUGUGGUGAAAUUUUCCUUGAAACAUGGAGUGAACCAUAAAAAUCGAGGAAGAUGGUUGUGAAAAUGCGGAUUUGUAAUAUUUAUUGGCCAUGUUAGUGGGAGCCAAAUGAUGAAAGUCUAUUCUCUGAUUCUUUGAGGGAAAAAAGCUAGAACUAUUUUCUUGGUGAUAAUAUCCUUCCUAAAUUCUGGAGCAUUCUCACUCUGCUUUUAUGUCAUUUUUUCUUUUCACACACUUGAUUAUGAACUGAAAUCAAUAAUAACUUUGGUAGGAGUAAUAAUUCACAGGAGAUUUUUGAAACCCAACUUGGUUUAUGCAUUUUUGCCAUAUUUAUGGCUCCUUGAAAAAGCUCACACAGUCUAAGAGAAUGUUUUUAUUACACUUCUAAUAUUGAAAUAUUCAACAUGAUAAAAAGGUAGGUACACAUUUGAAAUCAACUGUUUAAUAAAGUGCUUUACUGCUAUUUGUCUUUGGUGACAAAGGUCUGUUUUCUAUUUGGUUUAUGAUUUCUGGAAAACAAUAGUCAAGACUCAUAAAAAUUAUCUGGUUCUUUCUGGGAUCUGUAGCAGCAGAGGCAGCUGUGUUAGGCUUGACUGCAGAGCUGUCAGGAUCCAAAGCUUGGCAAAAUGGCCCAAGAGGAAUUUAGGGAGUGCUGAACCCCGGGGUCCCUUCCCUUUAUAGGAACUACCCGCAUUUAGCAAAAAGAGUAGGUGCAGGCAGCCCCUGUUAGGCAACUGAGGCAGCAUUCGUGCUGAGUGUUUCCUAGGCAUUUUGGUGCCCUUUCCUCUUUUCGAAAGUGCCUUUGCCCUGUGAGAAUUCAUAACUAGUCUACAUUUAUAUAGCUGUAGUCUUUGACAAUAGCUUCAUUGAUACUUGAUCUCCAUAGAAAAGCUUUAUGGAUUCUAAUGAGUCACAGCUCUUGAGGCACCAGCCGCCUUCCCUAUCAGUGAGUGGCUUUGUGUCCUGUGUUGUACUGAUUGUGCCUUUGGAUGACAACUUACUUGAGUGAUGGGGGGAGGCAGCGUAAUUUAUUAAAAAUAAUUACAAAGAAACCAAACAAAAGGGGUAAUUACAGUGCCGUUAAUAUGCAAUUCCUUAUUUUAUUGCUGAAAUAUUUGAAAUUCAGUCUUUUAUGUGGGGCUCCCUUUUUUAAUACAUUUUCUGUUCCCAGGUCUCAGGUUAGAUCUGGUUUCAUCAGAUCUUGGCUUUUCUUUGCUUGCUUGCUUGCUUUUUUUUUUUUUUUCUCUUAGCCGGACCAAGGAAGAAUUGCUGAUAAAGUGGUUUUUUGGUAGCCUCAGGAAAGAAGUCUGAUGUGUAUGAUUUUACACUAUUAAAUUUUCAUCUGUUUUGUAGAUGUAUUUUUUUUUUAAGCCUGCAGUUUAAACAAAAAAAUGAGAAUUCUGAGUAUACUGAAAUUCCCAUUUUCAAUUGGCAUAAUGGGGAAAAUUUAAAGUACAGUCACCCACUUACCCUCACGUACUUUGUUCACAUAUUUUAAAAAGAAUCUGAAUGGAACUAUUAAUAUAAUUAUAGCUGACACUUGUCAUGUGUCAAGCUCUGUUCUAAGUGCUUUACAUGUAUCAGCUCAGGUAAAUGUACCAUUAAGGUAGUGUCACAAAAUAGCAAUAUGAUAUGAGGGUGUUGCAGACUGUGUCGAACGCUUCUUUGUGACAGUAGGCGAGUUAGAAGCACAUCGAAUAAUUGCUGCAGAAAAGAAUGCUUUGGGCAAGAUUUAAAAAUUCUUUUUAACCCAGGCUAUCGACAGUCCUAGACCACCAACAUAAAGCGUACAUUUCUAAAUGAGGAAAAUCCCCUCCAGCAUAUAUUUUGAAAACACUUGAAAGUGUGCAGAUAAUUACACUAUUGUUGAUUUUAGCAGAUUUGAUGCCAGCAGCCAUCAACUCUUACGUGCCGUGAGAGAGGAAAGCCAUUUUAAUAUAAAACAUAAGAGUUUGGCUGGAAAAGGAGGGCGGGCGGAGAAAAAUUUCGUGACUUUGAGUUACUUUUAUAGGAAGCAUUGGUUGCAUUCCUGUUACAGAAUGCUUUACUUGGCAGUCAUUCUCAUCUCAGGCAUUUUAAUGAGCUGCUGUUUGGUGCCUGGUAUCAUAUGGCACUAAUAAGAUGCAUUAUUUUAGUAGCACCUACUGGUGUCAGUGAGUUUAGGGCCUAUCGCUGUUUCCAUUAAUCUUCUUUUAGGGGGCCGGCACUAGCAUGUAUCUUUAAGUCUGGCCAACAUGUUUUCAUUCAUAUUUCUGGGUCUCUGCACAAAAGAAAAAUGACACUCAAGUCUGGCAUCUCCAGCACUUAAAAAAGCACCCGAUCACCUGCAGCCGUAAUAGAUAAUUGUUGAAUGAAUCCCACAAGUGGCCCCUUUCCGUAAAGUCAUACCUGGCUAUUGCAUUAAAAAAAGUCAUGUCUAGGUUUUUAUUUUGUUCUUCAAUGACAGAGAUUUUCAUUAAAGCACAUUUGGUAGAGCUUUCCCGGCUUCGUGGUGGGUCAUCUUUUUCAUCUCUUCUGUAAAGAGAGCUCAGAGCCAGGAAGACUGACACUUGCUCCAACUCUGCCACCUAAUUAUGUGCUGCUUGCGUUUGUUGCUUGACUUUUGCUUUCAUCUGAAACUCUUUAUUUAAUAGACCAGUUAAACUCAUUUAUAUUAAUUAUAAAAUUAAUAUUUACAGUUUUAUGAUACAUUUUUUCUUUCGUGCAUUUUUUUGUAUUUAGGAAGGCUUGUGUUUUUUGGUCUAAUGGUUACUUUGAUAUAAUAGCAUAUUUUGGCUGCUUGUCCACUUUUUUUUUUUUUUGCUCUUGUGUAUUGACUUCCUGCUGUAAGAGCAAAAUUAGAUAUUAACCUUUUCUUGCCCCUCCCCUCUUUAUCUUCCAUCCUGUGCCUUGAAGUGUUAUCUUUCAACGCCUAGAUAAAUACCUGUUAAUACAAUCAACACGUGAAUGGUAUUUUUCAUAGACUCUUCCCAUCCUCCCUCCCCUUUUUGGUGGUUGUACUGUAUCCACAAUGUCAGAGCAUAUAGCUGUUACGUAUUAUACUGUGUCCUUUAUAAAAUCACUGAGCUUUAAUUCUGUAAGUAAAUCUAUCUUUAAUGCUCACCAUCCACCCUUAUAUUGGUCUUCAGUCAUUUUGGUCUUUUGAAGCUAGUUCUGUAGUGGAUUUCUCAGGAAGAGCUUGGGGCAACAAUAUUUCCCGAGUUCGUGUAUGUUCAGAAGUUUGUGCUUUUUAUACGCCAAGAUCAGUUCAACUAGACAUAAAAUCCUUGGCUCAUGUUUUCUUUAUUUAACUCUCUUAAACAUGUUACUCCAUUUCAUUGUCUUGCAUAAAGUCUGAUGCUGGUCUAAUUUCUCCGCCUUAGAGUAACCUUAGAGUAACCAUCUCUCCUAGAUGCCCAGAUUUUCUUCUUGAAAUUCCAAACUUUUUUUUUUUAGUAAAUUUAAUUGUUGGGUCCAUUUUCCCAGUUGGCACUUGCUUUUGUGGUUUAUUUUCUUCAUUUGUAAAAUGACAAUAAUGAUUGCUUUUUUUACCUACUCAGAGAAUAUAUUUGAAGACCAAAUGAGACACUAUAUAUAGAGUGCUUUCAAUUUAUUUUACUUUCUUUGUACUCUUUAAAGUCCCUUGUUGUCAGGAACUUUAAAAUUUAGAGUACUUCAGGAGUUCCCAUUGUGGCGCAGCGGAAAUGAAUCUGAUGAGGAACCGUGAGGUUUCGUGUUCGAUUCCUGGCCUUGCUCGGUGGGUUGGGGAUCUGGGGUUGCCGUGAGCUGUGGUGUAGGCCGGCGACUAUAGCUCUGAUUCGACCCCUAGCCUGGGAACCUCCCAAUGCUUCGAGUGUAGCCGUAAAAAACAAACAAACAAAUUUAGAGUACUUCAUUUUAUAGGCAAUUGGACUUGAGUUGGCUUUUAUUUAUGAAACGUCUAAAGCAGAUACUAAUGAAAUCUUUUGUCUAUAUUCUGGGAGCAAAUAAACUCACCCAGACCCACUCGGGGAGAACUGCUGGCCUAAAAGCUCUGGUGAUUUUUGCAAGUAUCUCAUUUAGAAAACGCCAUCUCCAUUGUACUCUUCUCACCCUCUUGCCUGUCAUAUGUUAGUUUCCCACACAAAACUUUGGGUUUAUGUGAUUUCAGUUUAUAUGUGCCUAAAACAAUACACAGGAGAAAAAAAAAA